UGCCUUUAUGUGUUGCCUGUUCACUUUCCCAGUGGUGAAUAUGGUGUCAACUAAGGCAUACAUCAACUCUUGAUGUGUGAAUAUCGUUCAAAAGUGCAAAAAGCACUUUUGACUUCCCCCUCAAGCACAUUC
ensembl:snoRNA